rnacentral:rRNA from 1 species
GACGAACGCUGGCGGCGUGCUUAACACAUGCAAGUCGAACGAAAAGAGGGAAAGAGCUUGCUCUUUCCGGAAUUGAGUGGCAAACGGGUGAGUAACACGUAAACAACCUGCCUUCAGGAUGGGGACAACAGACGGAAACGACUGCUAAUACCGAAUAAGUUCCAAGAGCCGCAUGGCCCAUGGAAGAAAAGGUGGCCUCUACCUGUAAGCUAUCGCCUGAAGAGGGGUUUGCGUCUGAUUAGCUGGUUGGAGGGGUAACGGCCCACCAAGGCGACGAUCAGUAGCCGGUCUGAGAGGAUGAACGGCCACACUGGAACUGAGACACGGUCCAGACUCCUACGUGAGGCAGCGGUGGGGAAUCUUCCGCAAUGGGCGAAAGCCUGACGGAGCAACGCCGCGUGAGUGAUGACGGCCUUCGGGUUGUAAAACUCUGUGAUCCGGGACGAAAAGGCAGAGUGCGAAGAACAAACUGCAUUGACGGUACCGGAAAAGCAAGCCACGGCUAACUACGUG